GUCCUUAGUUACCAGCACGUUAUGGUGGCACUCUAAGGAGACUGCCGGUGACAACCGGAGGAAGGUGGGGAUGACGUCAAGUCAUCAUGGCCCUUACGGUCUGGGCUACACACGUGCUACAAUGGUCGGUACAAAGGGUUGCCAAGCCGCGAGGUGGAGCUAAUCCCAUAAAACCGAUCGUAGUCCGGAUCGCAGUCUGCAACUCGACUGCGUGAAGUCGGAAUCGCUAGUAAUCGUGAAUCAGAAUGUCACGGUGAAUACGUUCCCGGGCCUU
rnacentral:rRNA from 1 species